GAUGAACGCUAGCGGCAGGCCUAAUACAUGCAAGUCGAACGGGAUUAAGGAGCUUGCUUCUUAUGAGAGUGGCGCACGGGUGCGUAACACGUAUGCAACCUACCUUCAACUGGGGGAUAGCCUUCCGAAAGGGAGAUUAAUACCGCAUAACAUAAUUGAGUGGCAUCACUUUAUUAUCAAACGUCAGGGUUGAAGAUGGGCAUGCGUCCGAUUAGUUUGUUGGUGAGGUAACGGCUCACCAAGACUACGAUCGGUAGGGGAUCUGAGAGGAUGGCCCCCCACACUGGUACUGAGACACGGACCAGACUCCUACGGGAGGCAGCAGUAAGGAAUAUUGGUCAAUGGACGGAAGUCUGAACCAGCCAUGCCGCGUGCAGGAAGACGGUCCUCUAGAUUGUAAACUGCUUUUGUUAGGGAAGAAACUUCCGUACGUGUACGGGACUGACGGUACCUAAAGAAUAAGGAUCGGCUAACUCCGUGCCAGCCGCCGCGGUAAGAC
rnacentral:rRNA from 1 species